GGCAGCAGCCGCGGGAACACCGGCGGCCCGAGUGGUGAUCGUGAUUAUUGGGUCUAAAGGGUCCGUAGUCGGUUUGGUCAGUCCUCCGGGAAAUCUGAUAGCUCAACUAUUAGGCUUUCGGGGGAUACUGCCAGACUUGGAACCGGGAGAGGUAAGAGGUACUACAGGGGUAGGAGUGAAAUCUUGUAAUCCCUGUGGGACCACCUGUGGCGAAGGCGUCUUACCAGAACGGGUUCGACGGUGAGGGACGAAAGCUGGGGGCACGAACCGGGUUAGAUACCCGGGUAGUCCCAGCCGUAAACGAUGCUCGCUAGGUGUCAGGCAUGGCGCGACCGUGUCUGGUGCCGCAGGGAAGCCGUGAAGCGAGCCACCUGGGAAGUACGGCCGCAAGGCUGAAACUUAAAGGAAUUGGCGGGGGAGCACAACAACGGGGUGGAGCCUGCGGUUUAAUUGGACUCAACGCCGGACAACUCACCGGGGGCGACAGCAAUAUGUAGGCCAAGCUGAGGACUUUGCCUGAAUCGCUGAGAAGUGGUGCAUGG
rnacentral:rRNA from 1 species